rnacentral:lncRNA from 1 species
AGACACCAGGGAAGGAAAACAGCUGUUAUGCUGAGGGACAGCGCUUGCACGAGAACAAAAGGAUAUGAACAGGCCAUGAAUACAUUUGUGAAUAUGAUUAUGGGACAUGGUGUUUACAAUAGCAAAGGACUUGCCUCAGUGACCAGGACGCCCCAUUGGUUUUAAGAAAGACAUAUUCAGAGCAAGAGCACCUAACCCCCCACCGCCCACAUCCCAAGUCGUGCAGGAGAUGGGAAAAGCUGUUCCUGAUGUCAGUGAGAGAAAGGGAGAUAAAAGAGAAGGGACAGCCGAAAUCACACCUCACAGGAAGAGCGACGUGAACUUUGAAAACUGGGGCAGUUGUUGGAACUUGCUUACCUGCAGGGGCAGCAGUGCGGAUGAAAGAGAUCCCUACGAACGAAACAGAAACUGACAGGUGAGGACAUGCGGAAAGUUUUUGUGCUGGGGACAGCUGUGACGAAGGUUUGUAUUUGGUAACACUGCGCUGGGCAGGCUGGGAUCUUUUGGGGCCCUGCUGGGCAAGGAGCCAUCUCCCUAACUCGCUGCAUCCCAGAGGCUGGGCAGCACAGGUGGGCUGGCCUGGUGGCUCCUCCAGCAGGGCAGGCUCUGCCAUUCCCCACUGCCGUUCGCCUGAGUCGAACUGUGUGCUGCCAGGGCUCUGGGCAGGCAGCGUGCUACUUACUGUGGUUCUGGGCUCAUUUUCUGGGUAGUGACUCCUCCAUCAGUGACAAAUCAUUUUUAGUUAUUCUGAGAAGAAAAGAAUGUGCUUUUUAUGUGGGUUUCUUUGGGCUCCAGAAACUAUAAACGUCUUCAUUUUUAAGUGUCAGCCUUGACACGCACAGCUGAUUUAGACCUCAGUGAUAAAUAUAUCUGCUCGGCUAUGUAUCAAGUUUUGGAAGUUAUAAUUGAAUUAAAAUUGUGUACUACGUGGGCAGGCUGUGAUAGGUAAUUAAGUUUAUUGAUUAUGCUGCAGCUCGGUUUGUCAGAUGUACAGCGCACCCUGCACUAUAAUUGCUGUUAUAUAUACUGGACAGAGCCAGUCUCAGAUGGUGCAAACUGGCACGAGGCCAUUCCUUCAGCAGCAGCUUUCUCCAGUUCUGGACUUUGUGUUACUGCUUUCUGUAAGAGGUUCAUAAGCAUAACAGAUGAACCUCAUCUUGCUCGAGAAUGUUGUAAAAUUAGACAUUUAUCUGUCUCAAGAACCACAUGGACUGAAUGGUCCAUAAACCUCCUCUCUAAGCCAGUGGUGAUUUAUAGGUUCAAAUGGAGGCUAUGCUGAAUUUUCACUUUGCAGCCAGAAGCAGAAAUUGCAUUUGACUGGGGACCACACUGAGCACUGUCAGAUUUGUAUUUGAAGUCCUAAACUCAAUGCAGAGUUUGUUGGGUUGCGAAUGGGAAAGAAUAAAACUAAAUAUUUGCAGAACACUUCUUCUCCAGGAGCACAAAUACCAGAUUUUAUUCAAACCAGCCAUAGUUUUCCAUGGAGCAAGAAGAAUGCGGUUUGAUGCUAGUGCUAAAAUGAAGCGCUGGGAGCAGUGGGAAAAGGAAACUGAGAAGGAGUCCAUGUCUGCAGGAGAAGCCUGCAGGGCAGGUGGUAAGUCAGGUGCCCAACCUGGGGCAGCCCAAACCCUCAUUCCCGAGCAGGGGCAGGCAAGGCUGCUGUGUUCAAGUGCAUUGUUGCACGUGAGCAGAACAACCCGUGGUCAAGAAAGUCAAAUGAGUUUGUGUAACACCGCUGCCUUAGAACUUCCUCCCUAGCAGGUCUGGAUGGAUACUGAUUCCCCAUCUCUCUACUCAAAAAACAGAGGGAGCAUGCAGUCACACUGGCGUCUGCAUCACGGUAAGGACAUGAAGGCGUUAAUCCAGCAAACCUCAGAAGUCACAGAGGAGACCUAUGGGAUUUCUGCUGCAGUCAGCGGGGCUGCUCACAGUUUUAAAGCCAUGCUUUGCUGAAGGAAGUCUCUCAAGCUCAGCUUUCAAGGGACUGAGAAGCUUUUGAAAAUUGGGUACUGAGCAUCCAGUUUUAGUUGGGAAUAAUGCUUUCUCUUCUCCAUAUGAUACACCUGAACUUCAGGAACCAGUCAAAUUAACUUAGCUUUCCUGUAUUAUGCAAUAUAUAUUGCCUCCAGAUACUCACCUUGAAGCCAGUACCUAUUUCCUAGCCAGAAGGCUGAAAAAUACUCUGAGAAAUGUCUCUGAAAUCGUUAUUUCUGAAAUGUGAUAAUCCAGCUUGAAGGAGAAGAAAGCAGUAAACCUAUUUUUGAGUAUGCUAAGGGAUUUUUUUUCCUUUAUGUCUCUUCCUCUCUAUCCAAAUCCUUGAGUCCGUUUAUUGCCUUCUUUGAUUGAAAUGCUUCGUUGCUGAAGGGCUGCUUCUGCUGGGCUCUGGCUGCUGGUGAGCACUUUAGUUUCAAAACGUGCACACAGAGAAUGUGUCAUUAGGGAAGAAGGUGCUGCUGAGGGGAAGUCAAGGUUAAGGUUAUCUCCUCUGAAUAUCAGACAAGAUGCUAAAGAGGUAUCUUUAUUUUCACAUAUAUAUUUAAAAAAUGAUUUUAAAACCUCUACUGAAGUCCUAAGCUGUUUUCAUGUUCAGUGUUCAAAACGCACUGGAAAAAUAAAUGAUAAUU